rnacentral:rRNA from 1 species
UGUCGUGUUAAUUCAGAUGAGGUCACACCUGUUCCCAUUCCGAACACAGAAGUUAAGCUUGUCAGGGCCCAAAGU